CCUACGGGUGGCAGCAGUGGGGGAUAUUGCACAAUGGGGGAAACCCUGAUGCAGCGACGCCGCGUGUGGGAAGACGGUCCUCUGGAUUGUAGACCACUGUCCCCAGGGACGAAGAUGCCGGUACCUGGGGAGGAAGCUCCGGCUAACUACGUGCCAGCAGCGGCGGUAAUACGGAGGGAGCAAGGGUUGUCCGGAAUUACUGGGUGUAAGGGGAGCGUGGGGGGGAUGGCAAGUUGGGUGUUAAGUCUACCGGCUCAACUGGGAGUCGCACUCAAAACUGCUAUUCUUGAGUGAAGUAGAGGCAGGCGGAAGUACUAGUGUAGCGGUGAAAUGCUUAGAUAUCACGAAGAACGCCGAGUGCGAAGGCAGCUCACUGGACUGCAACUGACACUGAGGCUCGAAAGUGUGGGUAUCAAACAGGAUUAGAUACCCGAGUAGUC
rnacentral:rRNA from 1 species